CCGAUGAUAAUGUUUCGGAUGGGCAGCAUCUGGCAUCCAAUGUGUAACAUUAUACUAGUGGAGGUAUACAAGCAGGGAGGGAGGCAAGUGCAUAGGUGUGCCUUUUUCCUGCGAGGAUUGAUCCGAUUCCAGGUUGUAUGAGACUGGCGGAUGGACGACUGCUGCAACUCCACCCCAGUUGAGCUGAGUAGCAAGUAGCCUGAGUCACCAAAAUCUUGCUCUGAGCCCCUGACAUGAUUCUGUGUUGACAUUUUCACUGACAUGAUUAUGUAGUGUUUUAACAUUUGUUGAUGUUGCUCUUGACUGUACUUCUUGCUCUGGAAUCUGGGAUACCCGGAUACAUAUGCUGUUGAU
rnacentral:sRNA from 1 species